rnacentral:tRNA from 1 species
GCCUUCGUGGUUUAACGGUAGCACACUCGGCUCGUAUUUGAAAGGUUCUGGUUCGAGUCCCGACGAGGGCA